ensembl:misc_RNA
CUGUGCUUCCUGAUUGCUGAGUGUUCACCUGGACCUUCUGACCACCUUCUGCUGGCCCAUCAUCCUACACGUCUGGUACUUGGAUUUUUGCCCAUGGUGAUUUGUAUCAACCUACUACUGAAGAAGACAUCAUUCCAGUGGACCACUGUGAUCAAGAGACUUUCAGCCAUGACAGUGUGACCUUGACCUGUACUCCAGUUGUGGUCUGCCCAGAUUCAGCACAGCCCUUGG